UGAAGAAGUGCUUCUUCAUGAACAUUAGGCAUUGAUCAUUUUAUGCAUCGAUUUGACAUUCAGAAAAGAAUAUAUUGUAAGAGGCCUGAUAUUGGUAUAUGAGUACCCAAUAAUCCACAAAAUGAUUCCUCUUCGACAAAUUAAAUUCUCGAAUCUACCAUUCUUAGUGAUUCUGAAAAUGAAAAGAAAAUUCAGAAUGUUCACAAUACCUAAAACAAGCACCACCUUUGCUAAAUGCUUAAAAUGAUGGGAACCAUUCCAAAGACGCAAGACUUUUUAUUUCAACCCAAGACCUGCAUAUCAGCUCCUCAGUGAUGUGCCUUAGCUUCAGACUUCUUAUGCGACUUUGCCUUCAUCUGGUAAAAGAAAUUGAGUUCAGUAUGAGCAUUCACAAACUGAGGGCAAAAUUUGUCAAUGGAAUACCCAUUAACCAUGACAAGAAAUGCUCCAAAUGGAAAAGAAAGAAGAUAAGUGCAAAUAUAUUGGAAACAAAAGGCCCAACAUGAACCAUGGAUGAUAAAAUUAUAAACCUGAAACACAGAUCUACUUAAAGCAAAAGAAACUGCAUUGCCUUGAGAUUCUUUGACAAUAAGAACCAAAAAGUUUGUCACUUACAUCAUAUCAUACAGAUAUAAUUAUAAAUCAUCUAGCAACUUAAUGGGACAACAAUGAAUGAGAGUUUCAACAUUCCCUGCUCUUCCAUAUCAGCUCAAAUAUAAGCAUGAACAGAAAUAAUCAUUCAUCUUAUCAAUAUUGGUUCAUCAAUGAUAUCCUUCCUCUAUUCACAAUGAAUGCAAAAUUUCAACAACUAAGCUAUUGUAGAACAUUACAGUACUUACAUUAACUGCUUGAAAUUCCUAUAAAAGAGAGAGAUUGAGGCCGAGAAAAAGGAAAAGUCAGCAAUAGAGCAAUUUCUAUAAACACCAUCAAAGGUGAAGUUAUUUAAGUGAGACUCAUUAACCUAAUUGCACGAGGCCACUAACUAGCUCCAAAGCUUAUAUUAACAGCAGUCCACAACACAACAAUAUCAUAUGGAUUCUUUUUCGCCAUUC
rnacentral:misc_RNA from 1 species